CCGAACAAAAGCACACGAACACACACAAAGCAAUAGCCAGGACAAGAGUCUAGUGAGAGAUGGAUUUUUCGCUCCCGCAUGAAGAACAAGAAACGCAGCUACUAAGCCACUCCCAUAACCGUGGCGGCAUCUCUAACCUCGCUGCUGUCAAUGUUAGAGAAUUAGAAACGGGUCCUCUGUACGUUGGUUGUGCUCAACAACUCUGGCCGUGCAUUAGUUCUCACCGGGAAAGGGAGAGUUGACCUGGAUCCCAAGGGAAAGUAUGGUGUCUUAACUUGCCUGUCCACCCUUGAAAGUAUCAAAGUCGCCCGUCUUGGCCUCGUCGGUCAACAGGUUCUUCUGGCCUCAAACUAUCCUAAAAUGCCUGAUAUUCAGGCCUGCUUUGCGGUAGAUCCAAUAUGGAGCGGUGUCUCUAAAGGAACUAGUGACCUCUAAUCCUCCGGUGCGGCAACUUCUGCCACGACGGGUCAGCAUCCCAGAGGCCUUCCUCCUCCACUCCAGAACCUGAUUUGGGCACCGGAGCUGCGAAAUUGGCCAAAUCAUCUUUCUCCUUUCUCCUCUGCCACCGUCCUGCAUUUAGCACUGGAGGAUACGACACCGGAGCAACUGCAGAGUGGAUCGAACGUCGGUGAUGCACAGUGGAAUGGAUCGAACGCUCGGUGAGGCCAAGGAGACGGCGGAGUGGAUCGAACGCCGGAAUCUGGGCAAGAACUCAACGUCGCGCCAAGGUGAAGAUCGGGGAGUGGAUCGACGCCGGAGAUGCGCAGCACCGGCGGGUUGGUCCUCGACACCGGAGUCUGGAAGAGAGAGGUAGGCUGCGUGGGUCGAGCGCCGGAGCCGGAAACGGCCUGGCUCGUGCGUCGGAGCCAGAGGUCAGUAGGAAGUGGGGAAUGAAGGAGAGAGAGAGAUCGGGACCAGAGAGAGAUUGAUAUUGAGUGGCAGUGGUUGUAGUUAUUUAAUUGAGUUGAGGGUAAAAUGGUCAUUUUGUGUUAAAUUGUGUGUGUGGGAACAAAAAUCUGUUGCUGGGGUAAGUGGGAUAACUUUUUGUUAUUUUGG